rnacentral:rRNA from 1 species
GACGAACGCUGGCGGCGUGCUUAACACAUGCAAGUCGAACGGAAAGGCCCUGCUUUUGUGGGGUGCUCGAGUGGCGAACGGGUGAGUAACACGUGAGUAACCUGCCCUUGACUUUGGGAUAACUUCAGGAAACUGGGGCUAAUACCGGAUAGGAGCUCCUGCUGCAUGGUGGGGGUUGGAAAGUUUCGGCGGUUGGGGAUGGACUCGCGGCUUAUCAGCUUGUUGGUGGGGUAGUGGCUUACCAAGGCUUUGACGGGUAGCCGGCCUGAGAGGGUGACCGGCCACAUUGGGACUGCGAUACGGCCCAGACUCCUACGGGAGGCAACAGUGGGGAAUAUUGCACAAUGGGCGGAAGCCUGAUGCAGCAACGCCGCGUGCGGGAUGACGGCCUUCGGGUUGUAAACCGCUUUCGCCUGUGACGAAGCGUGAGUGACGGUAAUGGGUAAAGAAGCACCGGCUAACUACGU